GUCAAACAGGGGUCUGUUAUGAUUUCCAGGGCUGAGGGGCCCAGGAAGGGCUUCUUCCAGGGGCUACGCAGAGAAUCAGAGCUCCUCUUAUAGAACACAGAUGCUCCAUUGGAAGGAAGCAGUUCCGAUCAAAAGUUGGGCAGCAUCCAGGGUCAUGAACUUAGAUCCUAAAAUAUCUGUGACCAGACCAGCCGGCAAGGAUUUCCUGCCGACCCAGAAGCUGAAAGGAUUCUAUGUUGGCACACACAGAACCACACUGCUGCUCACACCGCACGUGUCUAGCAGAGCUUCCAGGCUUUCAAACAGACAAAAUAACAGCAAAGACAUCAGAAUUAUGGCUGAAGGCGAAUCUGAGAAGAGUCGGGGCUCAGGCUGGAGAUGCAAUAGCCAGGAUUGCAAGAUAAACAACAACUUGAGAUUAUCGGUAAUAACACGGCUGGCCUAGUGAGCCCAGACAGGCAUCAGCAAUCAUCUCUCGGAAAUCAAGUUAUCCCUUAAGUCAAAAGGAUUCCUCUGGAGCUACAAAACCAGAACCGAGAUAAAGGUUGACUGCACCCUGGAGCAUCUCAGCUAAUCCUGAAAAGCUGGCCUUGUGCCUUGGUAAGCAAACCAGUCUGAACCCCUGCUCCAGAGUGUGCUACCUCCAGUUACUCAGGCUGGGGCCCUUUUACUUCCUCAGAACUUCUAAUUCUGUCUAAUAAACCUAC